UACGUAGGGUGCAAGCGUUAAUCGGAAUUACUGGGCGUAAAGCGUGCGCAGGCGGCUUUGCAAGACAGAUGUGAAAUCCCCGGGCUUAACCUGGGAACUGCAUUUGUGACUGCAAAGCUAGAGUGCGGCAGAGGGGGAUGGAAUUCCGCGUGUAGCAGUGAAAUGCGUAGAUAUGCGGAGGAACACCGAUGGCGAAGGCAAUCCCCUGGCCUGCACUGACGCUCAUGCACGAAAGCGUGGGGAGCAAACAGG
rnacentral:rRNA from 1 species